GUAGGUGGCAAGCGUUGUCCGGAAUUAUUGGGCGUAAAGCGCGCGCAGGCGGUUCUUUAAGUCUGAUGUGAAAGCCCACGGCUCAACCGCGGAGGGUCAUUGGAAACUGGAGAACUUGAGUACAGAAGAGGAAAGCGGAAUUCCACGUGUAGCGGUGAAAUGCGUAGAGAUGUGGAGGAACACCAGUGGCGAAGGCGGCCUUCUGGUCUGUAACUGACGCUGAGGCGCGAAAGCGUGGGGAGCAAACAGGGAUUAGAUACCCUGGUAGUCCACGCCGUAAACGAUGAGUGCUAAGUGUUAGGGGGUUUCCGCCCCCUUAGUGCUGCAGCUAACGCAUUAAGCACUCCGCCUGGGGAUACGGCCGCAAGGCUG
rnacentral:rRNA from 1 species